GGCAAACCUAAGCUAUUUCGACCGGAAAUGUUACAUUCCAAAGGUUUCGGCGGCAUUCAACGAGAGUUUUUGGAAUCGCGAUAGCCUGCUGAGCUAAUGGAUCAACUGGACGAAGUUGCAAUUGCUACACUAAGAGCUGCCAAGAUUGGAGAAGACUUACUGCCUUCCCUUUCUCGGGAUGAAAUCAAGGAUCUGUUUCCUGGUCCUGAAAACUUUCACAGGCGGCGGGCUAUAUGGCUUGUUGUAAAUAAAGAUGAAACGUGGAACAUGCCACUGCUGUGUUCAGAGUCCUGCCACUGCUCUUUCCAUCCAGCACUUUGCCACCUAAGAAGCUAGGUGCAAGCAGCAAGGCUGUUUUCCAUGUCCUUACGGCUUCAGAAGACCCUGAUGCAUACUUGAGCAAACGACCCCUGUCUUGUCCAGUUAUACUCGUCUGUGAGGAGAACUGCAUGAUCGCCAUUGGAAACACACCAGUGACCACCUUUGACAGAAAGAAGUUUGAUGAAGGCCUGCUCUACCUCUUGGGGUAUUACUAUUGCCUGCACCUCACUUAUCCUAAGUUCAUUUCCACCAUGCUCUCAGUAUUGCAAACUGAGGUUCUCCAGGACUCCUGCUGCUUCCUACUAAAAAAACAUUGCCGAGUGGAGGUCCUUCCUUGAGUAAUUGACUGACUCAGUUCUUAGAGUCUCUAAGAACAAACAAUUCAGUUUGAGAGUCAGACCCAUGUUAGCCACGUGUUUGUUGAUGUCAUUGGGUAAGUGCUUCACUGAGAACAUUUUUUUUUUUAUUUUUUUUUUUUGAGAAAGAUACGUGUUAAUGCUGUCAUUUCAAAUAUUCUAACUAGCAGCUGGAAUGAAAGUUUUUUUUUGUUUUAAGAAAAAAUAAUUUUAACUGUUUUCUGCUGCUUGAAUAACUGCAUAUUUUUCAUUUAUUUGGUCUAUGUGACUAUGAAAGUCUUGGUCCUGUACUCA